AACUGUAUUUAAAGGGCCAGAAGGUUGAGAACCACUGCCCUAGACAGUCUGAACCGAAAGCCUCAGCUAGGAGGUGAGGGCCAGGGAGGGGGUGUGGAGGGAGCAUCCAGGCGGGAGAGGCAAGACGCGCUGUGUGUUCUAGAAGCUGCAAGCCGCGCACUAGUGUAAGGGGAGGAAAAUGAAGCUGGGAAGUUAGGGAGCCAGGUGCUGGGAGGCUGAAGAGUUUGGAGAAUCUUGGUCCUUAGAGAAAGGGACCGGUAUAGUCUAAAGGUAAGAACGUGAGGAAUCAGCUACAGCGUUGGUAGGUGGAGUCAUUGGAGUGGAAUCAUUCAGAGCCAAGGUCUGCAAACAGAACAAUACAAACCCUAUAAGUAGUCAGACCAGGACAGUUUUCAGGAAAUCAGUGUUUACAACCUAAUUCCUAAAAAAAUUGCCCAAGGAUAAGCCUUUGUCCCACUUUACAAAUAAAAGGCCUACUUCUCUCCAAUCCUGCAUCCAAUCUUACUGUGAUGUAUUGUCCCAGGGUGUACAGACGUCUGGGACGCCAGGCACACAAAUGAAAAUUUGUAGAUAUUUGAUUUCUCAGUGGGUUUUUGACAAAACUGAAGGAGGACCUAACUGAAUUACCUAUCAGUUGUAGAUUUUUUUUUUUUAAAUGUUGGGCCCUGGCCAGGUAGCUCAGUUAGUUAGAGCUUCGUCCUGACCAGACAAAGUUGCAGGUCAGGGCACAUACAAGAAUCAGCUAAUGAGUGCAUAGAUAGGUGUGUCGUAGGCAGUUAGACGGACGUGACCAGAGCAAGGACGAUGUGCCAGGUACAGAAGGUCACCAGGCUGAAAAGCCCUGGGUGCCAAAGGACAAAUGUAGGGUGGGACCUUGCCCCCAGGGUGACCUCCCCUCCCCUAGCAUAUCGCUGGUCAUGCGGUUUGGACCCCCUGACCUUCUCUAGAGAUAGAGGCCUCGGUUGUAUUUCAGAUCCAGGCCCAGGAAAGCAGCAAAACCAGACAAGCAAUGCCACUGUUGACCUCAGGACCAACCGCAUUGGAUAAUGGCCCACUGGAGCCUGAUAGGUCACCGAAGGAGGAAUGCAGGAGGCCAGAAUGUUUGAGUCUAUGAAUUCUUUCCUAGCAAGACGCAAGUACAGAGGUUGCUGACCCCAGGUCCAGUAUGACCCCACUAGUCUAGCACCUGUGCCGUUCCUGCCACCCACGACAGAUGGAACAACAGAUUAAUGUUCCUCUCUCUCUCUCUCUCUGU